rnacentral:rRNA from 1 species
AGGGUUUGAUCCUGGCUCAGAAUGAACGCUAGCGGUGUGCUUAACACAUGCAAGUCGAACGAAACACUUUUAAAUAAUUCUUCGAAGUUAUUUAAAGUCGUUUAGUGGCAGACGGCUGAGUAAUACAUUGGUACCCACCCUAAAGUGGGGGAUAGCUCAUUGAAAAAUGGGGUAAUCCCGCAUGUGCUCUACGGAGUAAAGCUUUGGCGCUUUAGGAGGGGCCUUUGUCCUAUCAGUUUGUUGGUGAGGUAAGAGCUCACCAAGACGAUGACGGGUAGCUGGAUCGAGAGGUCGACCAGCCAGACUGGGACUGAGACACGGCCCAGACUCCUACGGGAGGCAGCAGUGAGGAAUUUUCCGCAAUGGGCGCAAGCCUGACGGAGCGACACCGCGUGAAGGAUGACGGUUUUAGGACUGUAAACUUCUUUUAUAUGUGAAGAUUAUGACGGUAACAUAUGAAUAAGGACCGGCUAACUACGUGCCAGCAGCCGCGGUAAUACGUAGGGUCCAAGCGUUAUUCGGAUUUACUGGGCGUAAAGCGUGCGUAGGCGGCUAUAUAAGUUAGAUGUUAAAUCUGCGGGCUCAACUCGUAGGCCGCAU